UGGACCAAGACCCAUUACAAUAAACACGGCCCAUCAACUCAACUGGGCUAAGAAUGUGAGCAUAUUUAUUUGGGCUCAACAAUAGGGACGACGAUUUCACGGAAGUCGGGACCCAGUCCAUGAAGAAUGUAAAAGGUGAAUCAUCAUCAGAAAUGGGAUGAUCGACGAGGGCAAUCUCGUCUGCAAGGGCAUUCACCGUGUGUAGGUAAUCGGCAUGGAUCUAUUGUCCCGCUGAAUCUAGGUAGCAUCCUUGAUUUUAGCACAGGAGUCCAGCCUUGAUUUGUGCAGCCUUGUCUUUAGCUAGAUUUGUGCAGCUUGCUUUGUUUAUUGGUGCUUGAUACAUUCUAAGAUUAGCUUUGAUUUGAGCCUAAGAAUCAUCUUCUUUGUCUUUAGCUUGAGUUAAGGAAUUUUCCUUGAUAGAAAAUUCGAGCCCGUUUGGUUAGGAAAUGUAUGGUCCGAAGAUGACAGCGUCAGUGGUGGCAUUGUCGUAAUUAACAUCUUUCUAUCUGUUAGAAAGACCGCGUAACACAUAUUGAAAUCUGUCUUUAUUGCUUGGCAAUAUAA